CCUACGGGAGGCAGCAGUGAGGAAUAUUGGUCAAUGGCCGAGAGGCUGAACCAGCCAAGUCGCGUGAGGGAAGACGGCCCUACGGGUUGUAAACCUCUUUUGUCGGGGAGCAAAGCGAGUCACGUGUGACUCAUUGAGAGUACCCGACGAAAAAGCAUCGGCUAACUCCGUGCCAGCAGCCGCGGUAAUACGGAGGAUGCGAGCGUUAUCCGGUUUUAUUGGGUUUAAAGGGUGCGCGGGCGGAGGUGAAAGUCAGCGGUCAAAUUGCGGGGCUCAACCCGGUACUGCCGUUGAAACUGCAUGCCUGGAGUGCGCGUGCAGUAGGCGGAAUGUGUGGUGUAGCGGUGAAAUGCAUAGAUAUCACACAGAACUCCGAUUGCGAAGGCAGCAUACCGAGGCGCAACUGACGCUGAUGCACGAAAGCGUGGGUAUCGAACAGGAUUAGAUACCCUGGUAGUC
rnacentral:rRNA from 1 species